rnacentral:rRNA from 1 species
AGUGAACGCUGGCGGUAGGCCUAACACAUGCAAGUCGAACGGCAGCACAGUAAGAGCUUGCUCUUACGGGUGGCGAGUGGCGGACGGGUGAGGAAUACAUCGGAAUCUACUUUUUCGUGGGGGAUAACGUAGGGAAACUUACGCUAAUACCGCAUACGACCUACGGGUGAAAGCAGGGGAUCUUCGGACCUUGCGCGAUUGAAUGAGCCGAUGUCGGAUUAGCUAGUUGGCGGGGUAACGGCCCACCAAGGCGACGAUCCGUAGCUGGUCUGAGAGGAUGACCAGCCACACUGGAACUGAGACACGGUCCAGACUCCUACGGGAGGCAGCAGUGGGGAAUAUUGGACAAUGGGCGCAAGCCUGAUCCAGCCAUACCGCGUGGGUGAAGAAGGCCUUCGGGUUGUAAAGCCCUUUUGUUGGGAAAGAAAAGCAGCAGGUUAAUACCCCGCUGUUCUGACGGUACCCAAAGAAUAAGCACCGGCUAACUUCGUG